rnacentral:rRNA from 1 species
GACGAACGCUGGCGGCGUGCUUAACACAUGCAAGUCGAACGAAGUGGCGAACGGGUGAGUAACGCGUAAUCAACCUGCCCUUCAGAGGGGGACAACAGUUGGAAACGACUGCUAAUACCGCAUACUGAAGGAGGGGAUUGCGUCUGAUUAGCUAGUUGGAGGGGUAACGGCCCACCAAGGCGAUGAUCAGUAGCCGGUCUGAGAGGAGGAACGGCAAAAAUGGGACUGAGACACGGCCCAGAAUCCUACGGUAGGCAGCAGUGGGGAAUCUUCCGAAAUGGACGAAAGUCUGACGGAGCAACGCCGCGUGAGUGAUGACGGCCUUCGGGGUGUAAAGGUCUGUUAAUCGGGGCGCGGUACCGGAAUAGAAAGCCACGGCUAACUACGUGCCAGCCGCCGCGGUGAUUC